AAAGCAUUAUCUGGUGUUGAAGGCCCUGCAAAGCAGCAUCGCGGUGGCGGAGCGUCGUUUGCGACGCCCAACACACAAAACAAGCGGUGAAUGCUUUGGGGUGGGGUGACUGCGUACCUUUUGUAUAAUGGGUCAGCGACUUAUAUUCUGUAGCAAGGUUAACCGAAUAGGGGAGCCGGAGGGAAACCGAGUCUUAAUUGGGCGUUAAGUUGCAGGGUAUAGACCCGAAACCCGGUGAUCUAGCCAUGGGCAGGUUGAAGGUUGGGUAACACUAACUGGAGGACCGAACCGACUAAUGUUGAAAAAUUAGCGGAUGACCUGUGGCUGGGGGUGAAAGGCCAAUCAAACCGGGAGAUAGCUGGUUCUCCUCGAAAGCUAUUUAGGUAGCGCCUCGUGAAUUCAUCUCCGGGGGUAGAGCACUGUUUCGGCUAGGGGGCCAUCCCGGCUUACCAACCCGAUGCAAACUGCGAAUACCGGAGAAUGUUAUCACGGGAGACACACGGCGGGUGCUAACGUCCGUCGUGAAGAGGGAAACAACCCAGACCGCCAGCUAAGGUCCCAAAGUCAUGGUUAAGUGGGAAACGAUGUGGGAAGGCCCAGACAGCCAGGAUGUUGGCUUAGAAGCAGCCAUCAUUUAAAGAAAGCGUAAUAGCUCACUGGUCGAGUCGGCCUGCGCGGAAGAUGUAACGGGGCUAAACCAUGCACCGAAGCUGCGGCAGCGACGCUGAUGCGUUGUUGGGUAGGGGAGCGUUCUGUAAGCCUGCGAAGGUGACCUGUGAGGGUUGCUGGAGGUAUCAGAAGUGCGAAUGCUGACAUAAGUAACGAUAAAGCGGGUGAAAAGCCCGCUCGCCGGAAGACCAAGGGUUCCUGUCCAACGUUAAUCGGGGCAGGGUGAGUCGACCCCUAAGGCGAGGCCGAAAGGCGUAGUCGAUGGGAAACGGGUUAAUAUUCCCGUACUUGGUGUUACUGCGAAGGGGGGACGGAGAAGGCUAUGUUGGCCGGGCGACGGUUGUCCCGGUUUAAGCGUGUAGGUGUGUGUUCCAGGUAAAUCCGGUUCACUUUAACACUGAGGCGUGAUGACGAGGCACUACGGUGCUGAAGCAACAAAUGCCCUGCUUCCAGGAAAAGCCUCUAAGCAUCAGGUAACAUCAAAUCGUACCCCAAACCGACACAGGUGGUCAGGUAGAGAAUACCAAGGCGCUUGAGAGAACUCGGGUGAAGGAACUAGGCAAAAUGGUGCCGUAACUUCGGGAGAAGGCACGCUGACACGUAGGUGAAGUGAUUUACUCA
rnacentral:rRNA from 2 species